UGGUCCUUGUGAUUUAGUUACUUUUCAUAAUUUUCAUUAUUUAUGAUAAUUAUUUGAAAAUU
rnacentral:rRNA from 1 species